GGACGAACGCUGGCGGCGUGCCUAAUACAUGCAAGUUGAGCGAUGAAGAUUGGUGCUUGCACCAAUUUGAAGAGCAGCGAACGGGUGAGUAACGCGUGGGGAAUCUGCCUUUGAGCGGGGGACAACAUUUGGAAACGAAUGCUAAUACCGCAUAACAACUUUAAACAUAAGUUUUAAGUUUGAAAGAUGCAAUUGCAUCACUCAAAGAUGAUCCCGCGUUGUAUUAGCUAGUUGGUGAGGUAAAGGCUCACCAAGGCGAUGAUACAUAGCCGACCUGAGAGGGUGAUCGGCCACAUUGGGACUGAGACACGGCCCAAACUCCUACGGGAGGCAGCAGUAGGGAAUCUUCGGCAAUGGACGAAAGUCUGGCCGAGCAACGCCGCGUGAGUGAAGAAGGUUUUCGGAUCGUAAAACUCGGUUGGUAGAGAAGAACGUUGGUGAGAGUGGAAAGCUCAUCAAGUGACGGUAACUACCCAGAAAGGGACGGCUAACUACGUG
rnacentral:rRNA from 1 species